rnacentral:rRNA from 1 species
GACGAACGCUGGCGGCGUGCUUAACACAUGCAAGUCGAACGGAAAGGCCCCCAUCUUGGUGGGGGUGCUCGAGUGGCGAACGGGUGAGUAACACGUGGGUGAUCUGCCCUGUACUUCGGGAUAAGCUUGGGAAACUGGGUCUAAUACCGGAUAGGACCAUGGUUUAGUGUCUCAUGGUGGAAAGAUUAUUGUUUUGGUGCAGGAUGAGCUCGCGGCCUAUCAGCUUGUUGGUGGGGUAAUGGCCUACCAAGGCGUCGACGGGUAGCCGGCCUGAGAGGGUGGACGGCCACAUUGGGACUGAGAUACGGCCCAGACUCCUACGGGAGGCAGCAGUGGGGAAUAUUGCACAAUGGGCGCAAGCCUGAUGCAGCGACGCCGCGUGGGGGAUGACGGCCUUCGGGUGGUAAACUCCUUUCGUUAGGGACGAAGCCGCACUUUUUUUGGGUGUGGUGACGGUACCUUUGUGAAGAAGCACCGGCUAACUACGUG